UCCAGAGCCAUAUCAACCUGCAGUUCUUGCCUGAUGUGCCACUGAAGCUAAGCAGCGUUGAGCCUGGUCAGUACCUGAAUGGGAGAUCUCCUGGGAAAACUGAAGUUGCUGUUGGAA
rnacentral:rRNA from 1 species